rnacentral:rRNA from 1 species
AUUGAACGCUGGCGGCAUGCCUUACACAUGCAAGUCGAACGGUAACAGGUCUUCGGAUGCUGACGAGUGGCGAACGGGUGAGUAAUACAUCGGAACGUGCCCGAUCGUGGGGGAUAACGGAGCGAAAGCUUUGCUAAUACCGCAUACGAUCUACGGAUGAAAGCAGGGGACCGCAAGGCCUUGCGCGGACGGAGCGGCCGAUGGCAGAUUAGGUAGUUGGUGGGAUAAAAAGCUUACCAAGCCGACGAUCUGUAGCUGGUCUGAGAGGACGACCAGCCACACUGGGACUGAGACACGGCCCAGACUCCUACGGGAGGCAGCAGUGGGGAAUUUUGGACAAUGGGCGAAAGCCUGAUCCAGCCAUGCCGCGUGCAGGAUGAAGGCCUUCGGUUGUAAACUGCUUUUGUACGGAACGAAAAGACUACCUUCUAAUAAAGGGGUCCGAUGACGGUACCGUAAGAAUAAGACACCGGCCGUAACUACGUGCCAGCAGCCGCGGUAAACACGAG